AACCUGAACGCUCAACGUUCAGCCUGCCGUUGAAACUGCCGGGCUUGAGUUCAGUGGCGGCAGGCGGAAUUCGUGGUGUAGCGGUGAAAUGCAUAGAUAUCACGAGGAACUCCGAUUGCGAAGGCAGCUUGCCAUACUGCGACUGACACUGAAGCACGAAGGCGUGGGUAUCAAACAGGAUUAGAUACCCUGGUAGUCCACGCAGUAAACGAUGAUUACUAGGAGUUUGCGAUAUACCGUCAAGCUUCCACAGCGAAAGCGUUAAGUAAUCCACCUGGGGAGUACGCCGGCAACGGUGAAACUCAAAGGAAUUGACGGGGGCCCGCACAAGCGGAGGAACAUGUGGUUUAAUUCGAUGAUACGCGAGGAACCUUACCCGGGAUUGAAAUGUAGAUGACGGAUGGUGAAAACCGUCUUCCCUUCGGGGCGUCUAUGUAGGUGCUGCAUGGUUGUCGUCAGCUCGUGCCGUGAGGUGUCGGCUUAAGUGCCAUAACGAGCGCAACCCACAUCGGUAGUUACUAACAGUUUUCGCUGAGGACUCUACCGAGACUGCCGUCGUAAGGCGUGAGGAAGGUGUGGAUGACGUCAAAUCAGCACGGCCCUUACAUCCGGGGCGACACACGUGUUACAAUGGGAGGGACAAAGGGCAGCUACCGGGCGACCGGAUGCGAAUCUCUAAACCCUUCCCCAGUUCGGAUCGGAGUCUGCAACUCGACUCCGUGAAGCUGGAUUCGCUAGUAAUCGCGCAUCAGCCAUGGCGCGGUGAAUACGUUCCCGGGCCUUGUACACACCGCCCGUCAAGCCAUGGGAGUCGGGGGUACCUGAAGGGCGUAACCGCAAGGGGCGCACUAGGGUAAUACCGGUGACUGGGGCUAAGUCGUAACAAGGUAGCCGUACCGGAAGGUGCGGCUGGAACACCUCCUUU
rnacentral:rRNA from 1 species